UGGGGUAUAGCUAAGUGGAAAAGCGAUCGUUUUUGGUGUGAUUAAUUCAAAGGUUCGAAACCUUUUACUCCAA
rnacentral:tRNA from 1 species